UACGUAGGGUGCAAGCGUUGUCCGGAAUUAUUGGGCGUAAAGAGCUCGUAGGCGGUCUGUCACGUCGGCUGUGAAAUCCCGAGGCUCAACCUCGGGUCUGCAGUCGAUACGGGCAAACUAGAGUAUUGCAGGGGAGACUGGAAUUCCUGGUGUAGCGGUGAAAUGCGCAGAUAUCAGGAGGAACACCGGUGGCGAAGGCGGGUCUCUGGGCAAUAACUGACGCUGAGGAGCGAAAGCGUGGGUAGCGAACAGG
rnacentral:rRNA from 1 species